ensembl:lncRNA
CUUCUCUGUUCUUGGGAAUUGUGCAGCCUCAAGUUUAUCCUUUUUGCCUCCCACCUCUUCAGUUAGAAGCCCUUUUAUAUCUUCAGGCUGGGGGAAUGCUGACUUUGAAGAGUAGAAACCAAGGACAGUGCCCUUGUUGGCUUGUUGGUGUUGCCUUAUUUUGCUGUUUGCCAUGCAGGAUGAUAAAGCUAAGUCUAAUAGAAGAGAAAUGGACAAAACCUCUCUCUUUGAGAGAGAUUUCUUUAUGGCUGUUAGGGAAAGCCACAGACAUGGUGACAGGAUGAAAAGUAUAACUGUUUGCAAAAAGGAAAAAAAUAGUGGAAAUGGGCUUGUUCACCUUGAAGAGAUUGAAGAUGAAUCAUGAGUUGUCACUAAACAAGCUUAUGUUUUCUACCUCUGCCUAAGAGAGCAAAAAGAAAACCUACAGGGUAUGAGGAAUUUAAAUUUAUUGUAGGGGAACAUUUCUGAUAGUUAAUUAAGGUUUCUCAGCUUUACAUGGGGUGCCAGCUACAAGAGUGGUUUUGGAAUCUUCUUUAAAGGUGUUUAAGAAUUGCCUGAACUUGAUUCUGUCUGGUUGGCUCAGGUAGGGUGUGGCCCUGCAAGGAAAGGAAUGGCCUGUUCUGUCUCACUGCUCCGCCAUUUGAAUGGCGGUGAGGUGACAACCUGUCGCCUAGACAGAGCCUUAACUGCAUCUCCAAAUCCACAUGCUUUCACAGGUGGGAGUGGCUUGACCAACUUCACGAGAGCUUUAUCUCUGCCUUCAGUGGCACCCUGUGUGUUACUUAGAUAUGCAGUGUUGCCAUUUGGGUUCCCUCAGGCCGAUUCUGAGGGCUUCUCUAGUGCCUCAGAUGGUAAAGAGUCUGUCUGCAAUGUAGGAGCUGCAGGAGGCGUGGGUUCGAUCCCUGGAUCGGGAAGAUCCCCUGGAGAAGGAAAUGGCAACCCACUCUAGUAUUCUUGCCUGGAGAAUCCCACGGACAGAGGAGCUGGCAGGCUGCAGUCCAUGGGGUCGCAAAGAGUGGAAUACGACUCAGCUACUUAGCACACAAGCUAAUUCUGAGAUGAAGAUUUGCAUACAGGCUGUUUUCUAGAGGGCGCUCUUGGUAUGAAUGCUGUGAGAGGGAAGGGGGGAAAGUAGGAUCAGACUGAGGGAGAAGGUGAGCUUUGAAGCAACCCCAACAGAGAACUCAGCUGACUACAUGGAAAGCUCUGAGGCUGCGCUGGCCCCUUUCAGGUGUCCCCAGUCGGGGCAAGAGGGUUGGGCCACUGAAGAAGUGGCAGCCACUGAAGAAAAAGCAUGACCUUGGGCAGAGCAGCUUCCUUUAGCUCAGGCAUUCCCCAAAGAAGGCUGACAGCUGGCCGGGGGCAGGGGGGGUCUCCUUCCAGCCGCAUUCCCACCACGUGAGGGAAUAAACCCUCCAUUCAGGAAAGGGCACCUAGGGGUGCAUCCCCAUGUUAACCACAGGCAGCUUUCCCAACCUUCUACUCACUUUAAGAUUACUUUUGCCCUUUACUUAUUAUGUAAGAAGCAAUUUUCCCUCCUGCAGGAACAUAUUUCCCUUACUGUUGUUCCUAUCCAACCCUUGCCGCCCUAGUUAGUACACAGAGUCACAGAUUCUGUUGAUUCUGAAAUAUAUUCUUUCCUCUCUCCGCCCCUCCCUCCUUCCUGCUCUUCCUCACUUCCCUUCAACUCUCAUCAAGCAGAUUCACCUGCUUCCAAUUUGAGCCUCGUGACAGCCAGCUUGGAUGACAAGCUGAGUAUCAGCUGAUUUCUCCCUCCUCAGAGUUUUUCCAUUAUUCCCCUAAUGGCCACACAUUCCCCCUCUGCUGCUGCUAAGUUGCUUCAGUUGUGUCCGAUUCUGUGCGACCCCAUGGAUGACAGCCCACCAGCCUCCGCUGUCCCUGGGAUUCUCCAGGCAAGAACACUGGAAUGGGUUGCCAUUUCCUUCUCCAAUGCAUGAAAGUGAAAAGUCAAAGUGAAGUUGCUCAGUCAUAUCCGACUCUUAGUGACCCCAUGGACUGCAGCCUACCAGGCUCCCCCGUCCAUGGGAUUUUCCAGGCAAGAGUACUGGAGUGGGUUGCCAUUGCCUUCUUCCAUUCCCCCUCUACCCUCUGCCAAUACCUUGUGCCUGAAUUCCCAGGGCAGUAGUGCAGCUGGCCUGGAGCCCGGGUCAGCUCAGCCUCUAGCUUGUGGGACUUUGAUCACAGCCUGUUUUCUCGAUUAGCUGUCUGAAAUGAGGACAGGCCACUGGACCAAGUGAUUCCCAACAUCUUUUUUCACCUUCAACAUUCAAUGACUUUUUGAUUUGAAGGGUUUUCACAAAGGAAAAUGGGAACAAAAGGGGAUACUAGAUUCCCUAGUCUUCACUUCCUAUCCCACCCACAUAGAAGAUUGGUGCCUCCUUUCCCAAAUAAAUGCAAGAUGUGUGGAUUAGUUAUGGCAUAACCUGAAAUGUCUCUUGACUCCCCAGAUAAUUUUGGAAAGCAGCCUGAACUGAAACCAGAAAAUUCUUAGCAGCCCGUCUUCUGGCCGUCCUUAGCCUCUGUGAGGCUCUACUGUGAGGCCAGUGAAGGUAAUCUGGCUGUGUGGCACUAGAGUGACUUUGAGGAGCUACCCAACAUCCAAGGGCAAAGGAGAAGCCCCAGCAAGACGGUAGGAGGGGCAAAAUCACAUUUUGACUCAAAC